rnacentral:rRNA from 1 species
CCUACGGGUGGCAGCAGUGGGGAAUAUUGGGCAAUGGGCGCAAGCCUGACCCAGCAACGCCGCGUGAAGGAAGAAGGCUUUCGGGUUGUAAACUUCUUUUGUCAGGGACGAAGCAAGUGACGGUACCUGACGCAUAAGCCACGGCUAACUACGUGCCAGCAGCCGCGGUAAUACGUAGGUGGCAAGCGUUAUCCGGAUUUACUGGGUGUAAAGGGCGUGUAGGCGGGGAAGCAAGUCAGAUGUGAAAACCACGGGCUCAACCUGUGGGCUGCAUUUGAAACUGGUUUUCUUGAGUGCUGGAGAGGCAAUCGGAAGUCCGUGUGUAGCGGUGAAAUGCGUAGAGAUACGGAGGAACACCAGUGGCGAAGGCGGAUUGCUGGACAGUAACUGACGCUGAGGCGCGAAAGCGUGGGGAGCAAACAGGAUUAGAUACCCUGGUAGUC